rnacentral:rRNA from 1 species
GCGCCAGACUCCUACGGGAGGCAGCAGUGGGGAAUAUUGCACAAUGGGGGGAACCCUGAUGCAGCAACGCCGCGUGGGUGAAGAAGUAUUUCGGUAUGUAAAGCCCUAUCAGCAGGGAAGAAGAUGACGGUACCUGACUAAGAAGCCCCGGCUAAAUACGUGCCAGCAGCCGCGGUAAUACGUAUGGGGCAAGCGUUAUCCGGAUUUACUGGGUGUAAAGGGAGCGCAGGCGGCGCGGCAAGUCAGAUGUGAAAGCCCGGGGCUCAACCCCGGGACUGCAUUUGAAACUGCCGUGCUGGAGUGUCGGAGAGGCAAGUGGAAUUCCUAGUGUAGCGGUGAAAUGCGUAGAUAUUAGGAGGAACACCAGUGGCGAAGGCGGCUUGCUGGACGAUAACUGACGCUGAGGCUCGAAAGCGUGGGGAGCAAACAGGAUUAGAUACCCGGGUAGG